UGCUGGCAGUGAGACCCCCCCUCUCGGAGCACUGGGCCCUGCCCGGGGUAAGCCAGCG
ensembl:snoRNA